CGAACGGUAACAGGAAGCAGCUUGCUGCUUCGCUGACGAGUGGCGGACGGGUGAGUAAUGUCUGGGAAGCUGCCUGAUGGAGGGGGAUAACUACUGGAAACGGUAGCUAAUACCGCAUAAUGUCGCAAGACCAAAGAGGGGGACCUUCGGGCCUCUUGCCAUCGGAUGUGCCCAGAUGGGAUUAGCUUGUUGGUGGGGUAACGGCUCACCAAGGCGACGAUCCCUAGCUGGUCUGAGAGGAUGACCAGCCACACUGGAACUGAGACACGGUCCAGACUCCUACGGGAGGCAGCAGUGGGGAAUAUUGCACAAUGGGCGCAAGCCUGAUGCAGCCAUGCCGCGUGUAUGAAGAAGGCCUUCGGGUUGUAAAGUACUUUCAGCGGGAAGGAAGGGAGUAAAGUUAAUACCUUUGCUCAUUGACGUUACCCGCAGAAGAAGCACCGGCUAACUCCGUGCCAGCAGCCGCGGUAAUACGGAGGGUGCAAGCGUUAAUCGGAAUUACUGGGCGUAAAGCGCACGCAGGCGGUUUGUUAAGUCAGAUGUGAAAUCCCCGGGCUCAACCUGGGAACUGCAUCUGAUACUGGCAAGCUUGAGUCUCGUAGAGGGGGGUAGAAUUCCAGGUGUAGCGGUGAAAUGCGUAGAGAUCUGGAGGAAUACCGGUGGCGAAGGCGGCCCCCUGGACGAAGACUGACGCUCAGGUGCGAAAGCGUGGGGAGCAAACAGGAUUAGAUACCCUGGUAGUCCACGCCGUAAACGAUGUCGACUUGGAGGUUGUGCCCUUGAGGCGUGGCUUCCGGAGCUAACGCGUUAAGUCGACCGCCUGGGGAGUACGGCCGCAAGGUUAAAACUCAAAUGAAUUGACGGGGGCCCGCACAAGCGGUGGAGCAUGUGGUUUAAUUCGAUGCAACGCGAAGAACCUUACCUGGUCUUGACAUCCACGGAAGUUUUCAGAGAUGAGAAUGUGCCUUCGGGAACCGUGAGACAGGUGCUGCAUGGCUGUCGUCAGCUCGUGUUGUGAAAUGUUGGGUUAAGUCCCGCAACGAGCGCAACCCUUAUCCUUUGUUGCCAGCGGUCCGGCCGGGAACUCAAAGGAGACUGCCAGUGAUAAACUGGAGGAAGGUGGGGAUGACGUCAAGUCAUCAUGGCCCUUACGACCAGGGCUACACACGUGCUACAAUGGCGCAUACAAAGAGAAGCGACCUCGCGAGAGCAAGCGGACCUCAUAAAGUGCGUCGUAGUCCGGAUUGGAGUCUGCAACUCGACUCCAUGAAGUCGGAAUCGCUAGUAAUCGUGGAUCAGAAUGCCACGGUGAAUACGUUCCCGGGCCUUGUACACACCGCCCGUCACACCAUGGGAGUGGGUUGCAAAAGAAGUAGGUAGCUUAACCUUCGGGAGGGCGCUUACCACUUUGUGAUUCAUGACUGGGGUGAAGUCGUAACAAGGUA
rnacentral:rRNA from 1 species